UCGCCCUGUCGCCGACCGGCGCGGCGGACGCGUUGCUUUCCGCUCAACGGCCAUAGUCCAACCCGCGAUCAGGUGUGCGCGCGGGGGACCUCGGAGCGGGGACGGCGGGCUCUCGCGCGGCUGGUGGCUUUGCAGGCGGCUGCAUCGCCCGAUCCGCUGAUUGCCGGCUGUGACGCCGGUCGAUCUGUUUCGCCGGGAGCGCGGCCUGUUCGAUCACGGCGAUCGUCGAUGUUUUGGCGUGUCCGUUG
rnacentral:misc_RNA from 1 species